rnacentral:rRNA from 1 species
GUCAUACUGCCCUGCACACACCAAUCUCAUCUGGUCUCUAAAGCUAAGCAGAGUCCAGCCUAGUGAGUAAUUGGAUAGGAGACUGGAGACACAAAACUGGCAC